GAACCUAAGAAAUGCGGAAUCUAUACCCUUUGUGACAUACCUAACCGUUGCUUCGGCGGGCAGGGGAAGCCUCUCGCGGGCCUCCCCUCCCGGCGCCGGCCCCCACCACGGGGACGGGGCGCCCGCCGGAGGAAACCAAACUCUAUUUACACGACGUCUCUUCUGAGUGGCACAAGCAAAUAAUUAAAACUUUUAACAACGGAUCUCUUGGUUCUGGCAUCGAUGAAGAACGCAGCGAAAUGCGAUAAGUAAUGUGAAUUGCAGAAUUCAGUGAAUCAUCGAAUCUUUGAACGCACAUUGCGCUCGCCAGCAUUCUGGCGAGCAUGCCUGUUCGAGCGUCAUUUCAACCCUCAAGCACCGCUUGGUUUUGGGGCCCCACGGCACACGUGGGCCCUUAAAGGUAGUGGCGGACCCUCCCGGAGCCUCCUUUGCGUAGUAACUAACGUCUCGCACUGGGAUUCGGAGGGACUCUUGCCGUAAAACCCCCAAAUUUUUUACAGGUUGACCUCGGAUCAGGUAGGAAUACCCGCUGAACUUAAGCAUAUCAAUAAGCGGAGGAUAC
rnacentral:rRNA from 1 species